rnacentral:rRNA from 1 species
UUCNACUCUUCNAAAUUAACCCUUUAAUAUUAUUGAACAAUUCUAUGUGCCAUAGAAAUUUCCAUGUUAAAACUAGUAACAAGAAGAAGACCUUCUCUUUGAUGUACUUUUAAGCCAGAUAGGACAUACCACUGGCAAUUAACACGUCUAACAAAAGUAAAAACUUAACUAGAAAAACUUACUAUUCUAAAUGUUAAACUUACACAAGGACAUCUCAAGAAAGAUUUAAAGAAAAAGAAGGAACUCGGCAAACAUUAGCCCCGCCUGUUUACCAAAAACAUCGCCUCUUGAAAAAUAUAAGAGGUCCAGCCUGCCCUGUGACUCUGUUUAACGGCCGCGGUAUCCUAACCGUGCGAAGGUAGCGCAAUCACUUACCCUUUAAAUGAGGGCUAGUAUGAAUGGCAUCACGAGGGCUAUACUGUCUCCUUUUUCUAAUCAGUGAAACUAAUCUCUCCGUGAAGAAGCGGGGAUAAAGCCAUAAGACGAGAAGACCCUAUGGAGCUUUAAAUGAAGCAACACUUAUUAUUUUUUAACCCAAUCUCAGGAAGCUAACUUUUAAGAUAAUAUUAUGUUUGCUAAUUUUCGGUUGGGGCGACCGCGGAGCAAAAAUCAACCUCCACGUUGUAAGGACCCUCCCUUAACAAAAAGCUACAACUUAAUGUAUCAACAAACUGACAUUCAUUGACCCAUAAUUUGAUCAACGAACCAAGUUACCCUAGGGAUAACAGCGCAAUCUACUUCAAGAGUUCAUAUCGACAAGUGGGUUUACGACCUCGAUGUUGGAUCAGGGUAUCCUAGUGGCGCAGCCGCUACUAAA